CGGAGCCGGGAGCUGGGAGCUAUGAGUGCUGACUGCGUGAACUCGGCUUCCAUUUCCCGGACCUGCCACUUUUCAUGAUCCACGAGCUGUACUCAUGACUCCGCACAAGCAAGCAGGGGAUGACGGUCGGAUCCCUCGCCCCCAUUUUACGGACAGAAAUACUGAGGCUCAAAGAGAGAAAGUGAGAUGUUGAAAUCACGCGUGAUUGGAAUCCAUCCUUGCUAGGGCUGCGGGUGUUACGGGCCGUGGGCGGCGGUUAAGAGCGCUAGUCAAGUGAAGCAAUGGGAAUGGAGAAAAAACAAAUCUAUAACUGGUUGUGAUGAAUUAGUUGUAAGCACCACUGCAAUUGGACCAGUCAAUACCAUGGUUAUCACAGGAGCGUGUCUGAGGCUGUGUUUGGCCCUGAGUGCCAGGUCUGCACCCUGCACUAAGGAUGGGUGAGGAACGACAGGCAGUCGAGCUGGUUGGUGCUACAGGCAAUGUACAGUAAGCCAUGAUGGGCAGAGGCAGGAAAUACUUGGAGAACUGGAAAGAAUAAAGGAGCCGGUGCUCUCCUCUCAGGGCCAGGGGAGU